rnacentral:rRNA from 2 species
CCAAGGAGUCUAACAUGUGCGCGAGUCGUCGGGUCUUGAACAGGCCCGCAGGCGAAAUGAAAGUGAAGGGCGACCCAGUCGUCGCCUGCGUUGGGAUCCCCGGGCGAAUGGUGUCCGGGGCGCACCAACGGCCCGUCCCGUCCGCGACGUCGGUGGGACGGAGCGAGAGCGUACACGUUGGGACCCGAAAGAUGGUGAACUAUGCCUGGGCAGGACGAGGCCAGAGGAAACUCUGGUGGAGGUCCGCAGCGAUUCUGACGUGCAAAUCGAUCGUCAGACCUGGGUAUAGGGGCGAAAGACUAAUCGAACCGUCUAGUAGCUGGUUCCCUCCGAAGUUUCCCUCAGGAUAGCUGGCGCUCGAGGGAGUCAGUCUCAUCCGGUAAAGCGAAUGAUUAGAGGCCUUGGGGCCGAAACGACCUCAACCUAUUCUCAAACUUUCAAUGGGUGAGAAGUCCGGUUUACGUGACUGAAGCCCGGACAAUUCUCAGGAUGCGAGUGCCCAGUGGGCCACUUUU